rnacentral:rRNA from 1 species
UACGGGGGGAGCAAGCGUUGUUCGGAUUUACUGGGCGUAAAGGGCGCGUAGGCGGCCUCUGCAAGUCGACUGUGAAAUCUCCGGGCUUAACCCGGAACGGUCAGCCGAUACUGCAGGGCUAGAGUGCAGAAGGGGCAACCGGAAUUCUCGGUGUAGCGGUGAAAUGCGUAGAUAUCGAGAGGAACACCUGCGGCGAAGGCGGGUUGCUGGGCUGACACUGACGCUGAGGCGCGUAAGCUAGGGGAGCGAACGGG